CUCUUUAUCCAGAAACUGAGGAUUUUUGCUUCUCACCAUAGAACUCAGACCAUGUGACAACUUACAGCAAAGUUCGAUAUCCAUGCUGUUGUAGAAGAUCCUACUUCCAGCCUUCAAGAAUUUACAUUCCUUCAGCAAGAGGCUUUUCCAGCGACUGUACGAUGUCUAGCACGGUGAACAGGCCCACAGGUCUGGACACUCUGGCAGUGGCAGCGUGAGUGGCGUACAGCUCGAAAGCCCCCUCCUGAGAGGAACGGCUGACUCACGGACCUCGCCAUGCAGACCAGGGUGUGUUGCAACCCACAGGCGUCUGUGUCCCUGGGUGAACUGAGCCCUGGAUAAUGGAGUUUUUCUGCAUCUCCAAAAAGCCACAGAUUAAAUGCUUUUCCGGUUCUGGUUGGUUGGUUCCACUUCCGCAUGCUCUAGUUUUCAUCUCCUUCCCGAAAAUCCGGGAUGUUUCAUGGAACCAUGGACAUUCAUGGUCAAAGGGCAAUCCUGGAACGUCAGCGGUAUUCACGCUGGAUGGUCGCCCGCCGGGACUUGAACCCUCCUGGCUGUGACAGAGGGCUCACUGCCUUAAGCCACAGGGUGCUGGACUAUUUGCAACGUGAACUGGAACGCUA